AACCGGAUUAGAUACCCUGGUAGUCCACGCCCUAAACGAUGUCAACUAGCAGUUGGGGCCUUCGGGCCUUGGUAGCGCAGCUAACGCGUGAAGUUGACCGCCUGGGGAGUACGGUCGCAAGAUUAAAACUCAAAGGAAUUGACGGGGACCCGCACAAGCGGUGGAUGAUGUGGAUUAAUUCGAUGCAACGCGAAAAACCUUACCUACCCUUGACAUGUCUGGAAUGCCGAAGAGAUUUGGUAGUGCUCGCAAGAGAACCGGAACACAGGUGCUGCAUGGCUGUCGUCAGCUCGUGUCGUGAGAUGUUGGGUUAAGUCCCGCAACGAGCGCAACCCUUGUCAUUAGUUGCUACGAAAGGGCACUCUAAUGAGACUGCCGGUGACAAACCGGAGGAAGGUGGGGAUGACGUCAAGUCCUCAUGGCCCUUAUGGGUAGGGCUUCACACGUCAUACAAUGGUCGGGACAGAGGGUCGCCAACCCGCGAGGGGGAGCCAAUCCCAGAAACCCGAUCGUAGUCCGGAUCGCAGUCUGCAACUCGACUGCGUGAAGUCGGAAUCGCUAGUAAUCGCGGAUCAGCAUGUCGCGGUGAAUACGUUCCCGGGUCUUGUACACACCGCCCGUCACACCAUGGGAGUGGGUUUUACCAGAAGUAGUUAGCCUAACCGCAAGGAGGGCGAUUACCACGGUAGGAUUCAUGACUGGGGUGAAGUCGUAACAAGGUAACC
rnacentral:rRNA from 1 species